CAGAUUUGGACUGAAAUCAUAAUGGUACAUUUGCUUAAAUUAAUACUGUUUGUUUAUGAAUGUAACAGAAGUAGAUUCUAAUAAGCUAAGAGAUUGAAGCAAAGAAUGUUAUAGAUAAUACUACUCGUAUUAUGUAUAGCCACGAAAUCGUGUUGGAUACGUUGCAAGCAAAUAUUUCCUGCGAGUGAAAUGAAAAUUUUUAUUUUGCCAAGACAAGGAAUCUACAUAGUGAAAUCAGUAACCCUAUUUUGAGAUGUUAAAAGAGGAAGUUUUGAAUUUAAAUUGAUUUUUGAAAGAAGACUUCAAUCAUUUAGCCUUGCUACGCGACAUUUUACGAUGAGGAAUUUGGAAAAAUGAAUUUGGUUUUCUAUUGCUUUUAUAUUUUUGUGAAGACU
rnacentral:lncRNA from 1 species